rnacentral:lncRNA from 1 species
CUUCUAAGCCUGGGCAAAGUGCCUUUGCACUAUGGGCUUAGCACGUGGGAGAACUCUGACUCUGCAGUCAGCAUCCACUUAGGAGUGGGUCUCUCCCUGGCAAUAACCACAUUGACAAAAUGUAUUCUAGAUUCCUAUCUUGCUCCCAAUCAAAGAUUAAUGCUCUUUCUCCAUCUACAUACCAAUAGUGCUCCCUAAGCCAUGUAUUUUCCCAUACUUCUCUUCUGAAUUAAAAUGUCUCUCUCCAGUUCUUGUGGCCUCAGCAACCCUGUAAAACUCCAGGAGGUACAAGAGAGUGAAACAGUCCUUCCUACAUUUUUUUUCUCCCUAGGAUUACAGAAAAGAGAGCCAAGUCAUCAAAAUCGAGGCCAGAAAACAAGUUAAAAUGUUCUUGGAGAAUUGACUUUCAGGACAGAGGAAAUUAGAGAUAUUAGUCAAAAAUAGGCCAAGGCAAGAUCCAAAGUCAGAUGGAUUAGAGUAAUCAAAGCCAAAAACAGACAGUACUGAUAGAAAAGAAUUUAAUCAGAAGAGAGAGCACUAGUGUGUAUAAGGUUAGGUCUGCAGACUACAUCGUGACCUUUUAAAAGCAGAGCAUCUGUUCCAACCUCCUUCUUUAUACACAGAAUUAAGACACUGAGUUUAGAAUGUGUGGAAUCAUUCUAGUUUCUGCUGAUUACUCUGAUAAACUGUUGUGUUGAUGGAUAUUUUGCUUAGAAAUAAAUAUAUGUUCAAACCCUUACCAUCUAUGUAAUGCUCAUUGCAGUAAUUUCAGGCUUAAAGGCAAGCAGAUUAUGAAGCAAAUUUGGGGUGAAGGAAAGCCUUCCAAUUCUCUGAACUGUGGAACCAGCCAAACCCACCCUGCUGCUGGUCCACCUUCACUAGUUGAUAAGGAAAGUAAGCUCUGCUUCCAUUCAUAUCUGGCGAGGGCUCAUUUUAUCCACCUGAAACAAAGCAGUGCUUCGAGUCAAGUUACAGAUUUGAUCAGGAAAUCAGCACAGUGAAGAUUGGUACUAGUGCUUUUGACCAAGUUGACUGCACUGGGAUUGGUCUCUUCGAUCAGCUGGAGUGCAAAGAAGUACUUCCAGAUAUUCUCAUUCUCUACCUAGAAUUAAUCAAAGCUUCUUUUAACUUUGAUUAUUUAUUAACGUUUGCUCUAAGAUUUGUUCGUACAAAAUAUCUGGUGCUAAUUACUCCUUACCCUAGAAAUGCUUUUUUUUUUUUUUUUUUUACAUAUUCAGAUCUUAAUUCCUUACACAGUUUGAUGAUGUUAUCCCAGUUUUUCCUCAUAUUCAUAUUCAGCAAUGGGCAAUUUUAUGUCUAUUUUGGUAAAAAAGAAUAACUUCCUGAAUUUGAUCAGAGUUGAAAGAAAUUCCUGAAUUUCCCUCCUUAGGGAAAAAUAAUAAAUGAAAUAUAAUUAAACGUACCCCA